rnacentral:rRNA from 1 species
AGUGAACGCUGGCGGUAGGCCUAACACAUGCAAGUCGAACGGCAGCACAGUAAGAGCUUGCUCUUACGGGUGGCGAGUGGCGGACGGGUGAGGAAUACAUCGGAAUCUACUUUUUCGUGGGGGAUAACGUAGGGAAACUUACGCUAAUACCGCAUACGACCUACGGGUGAAAGCAGGGGAUCUUCGGACCUUGCGCGAUUGAAUGAGCCGAUGUCGGAUUAGCUAGUUGGCGGGGUAAAGGCCCACCAAGGCGACGAUCCGUAGCUGGUCUGAGAGGAUGAUCAGCCACACUGGAACUGAGACACGGUCCAGACUCCUACGGGAGGCAGCAGUGGGGAAUAUUGGACAAUGGGCGCAAGCCUGAUUCAGCCAUACCGCGUGGGUGAAGAAGGCCUUCGGGUUGUAAAGCCCUUUUGUUGGGAAAGAAAAGCAGCAGGUUAAUACCCCGCUGUUCUGACGGUACCCAAAGAAUAAGCACCGGCUAACUUCGU